rnacentral:rRNA from 1 species
UACAGAGGUCCCAAGCGUUGUUCGGAUUCAUUGGGCGUAAAGAGCUCGUAGGCGGACUGUCACGUCUGCUGUGAAAAGCUAGGGCUUAACCCUGGCCUUGCAGUGGAUACGGGCAGACUAGAGGUAGGUAGGGGAGAAUGGAAUUCCCGGUGUAGCGGUGAAAUGCGCAGAUAUCGGGAGGAACACCGGUGGCGAAGGCGGUUCUCUGGGCCUUACCUGACGCUGAGGAGCGAAAGCGUGGGGAGCGAACAGG